GCUGCCAAAUUUGGGAUUCCAAGGUUAGUGUUUAAAGGCACUUGUUUCUUUUCUUUAUGCACCUUAGAAUGUAUCAGGCUGUAUGAGCCGCAGAAGAAAGUCUCCUCGGAUUCAGAACCCUUUGUCCUGACUAAUGUUCCCGGCGAGAUAAAGCUAACAAGAAAACAACUUCCAGAUGGUUUGAGACAAGACUUUGAUACUGACUAUAGCAAAUUAAUGAGUGAAAUUGUAGAAUCAGAGUUAAAGAGUUUUGGGAUCGUUGUCAACAGCUUCUAUGAGGUCGAGCCAGCUUACGUUGAUUAUUACAGGAAGGUCUUAGGCAGAAGGGCAUGGCCUAUUGGCCCUGUUUCGCUAUGCAACAGGGGAAUUGAAGAUAAAGCACAGAGAGGGAAUGAAGCAUCUAUUAGUGAAAACGAGUGUUUGAAAUGGCUUGAUUCCAAGAAACCCAAUUCUGUUAUCUACAUAUGUUUUGGAAGUAUGGUCAACUUCAAUGCAUCUCAGCUUAUAGAGAUUGCAAGGGCUCUCGAAGCUUCCAAACAGGAAUUCAUUUGGGUAGUGAGGAGAGAGAAGAACAAUCAAGAAGAUGAAGAACAGUGGUUA
rnacentral:misc_RNA from 1 species